GACGAACGCUGGCGGCGUGCUUAACACAUGCAAGUCGAACGGAAAGGCCUCUUUUGGGGGGUACUCGAGUGGCGAACGGGUGAGUAACACGUGAGUAACCUGCCCUUGACUUUGGGAUAACUUCAGGAAACUGGGGCUAAUACCGGAUAGGAGCUCCUGCUGCAUGGUGGGGGUUGGAAAGUUUCGGCGGUUGGGGAUGGACUCGCGGCUUAUCAGCUUGUUGGUGGGGUAGUGGCUUACCAAGGCUUUGACGGGUAGCCGGCCUGAGAGGGUGACCGGCCACAUUGGGACUGAGAUACGGCCCAGACUCCUACGGGAGGCAGCAGUGGGGAAUAUUGCACAAGGGGUGGAAGCCUGAUGUAGCAACGCCGUGUGCGGGAUGACGGCCUUCGGGUUGUAAACCGCUUUCGCUCAUGACGAAGCUUUGUGUGACGGUAGUGGGUAAAGAAGCACCGGCUAACUACGUG
rnacentral:rRNA from 1 species